UAUCUCUGAUCAUACCUGUUGAAUUGCCCGUAUUCAUCAGGUGUUGAAUUCAGAGAAAUAGCAUGGCGGAGGAAAUACCCAUUCCACCUCUAGCUCUUGCCAUAGCCAGCAGGUGGAAGAUAAUCUGCAACAAGU
rnacentral:snoRNA from 1 species